AAUCGGACUCAACGCCGGGAAACGUCACCAGAUAAGACAGCUGAAUGAUAGUCGGGCGUGAAGACUCUACUUGACUAGCUGAGAGGAGGUGCAUGGCCGUCGUCAGUUCGUACUGUGAAGCAUCCUGUUAAGUCAGGCAACGAGCGAGACCCACGCCAACAGUUGCCAGCUCGUCCUCCGGGAUGGUGGGGACACUGUUGGGACCGCCUCUGCUAAAGAGGAGGAAGGAAUGGGCAACGGUAGGUCAGUAUGCCCCGAAUAUCCCGGGCUACACGCGAGCUACAAUGGUUGGUACAAUGGGGUAUCUACCCCGAAAGGGGACGGGAAUCUCCUAAAACCAAUCUUAGUUCGGAUUGAGGGCUGCAACUCGCCCUCAUGAAGCUGGAAUCCGUAGUAAUCGCGUUUCAACAGAACGCGGUGAAUACGUCCCUGCUCCUU
rnacentral:rRNA from 1 species